rnacentral:rRNA from 1 species
CCCUUAGAUGUUCUGGGCUGCACGCGCGCUACACUGAUGCGCUCAACGAGUUUUAACCUUGCCUGGAAAGGUUGGGUAAUCUUUUUAAAACGCAUCGUGAUGGGGAUAGAUUAUUGCAAUUAUUAAUCUUCAACGAGGAAUUCCUAGUAAGCGCGAGUCAUCAGCUCGUGCUGAUUACGUCCCUGCCCUUUGUACACACCGCCCGUCGCUACUACUGAUUGGAUGUUUAAGCGAGGUUCUCGAACUGCUAGCGACUUAGCUUCGGUGAGGUCGCAGUGUGGGAAGUGAACCUAGCUUUGGUGUCUAGAGGAAGUAAAAGUCGUAACA